rnacentral:misc_RNA from 1 species
GAUGAAGAACGCAGCGAAAUGCGAUAAGUAAUGUGAAUUGCAGAAUUCAGUGAAUCAUCGAAUCUUUGAACGCACAUUGCGCCCCCUGGUAUUCCGGGGGGCAUGCCUGUUCGAGCGUCAUUUCACCACUCAAGCCUCGCUUGGUAUUGGGCAACGCGGUCCGCCGCGUGCCUCAAAUCGACCGGCUGGGUCUUCUGUCCCCUAAGCGUUGUGGAAACUAUUCGCUAAAGGGUGUUCGGGAGGCUACGCCGUAAAACAACCCCAUUUCUAAGGUUGACCUCGGAACAGGUAGGGAUACCCGCUGAACUUAAGCAUAUCAAUAAGCGGAGGA